rnacentral:lncRNA from 1 species
CUAUAAACUCUUUAACCUUAGAUUCAUGCUUACGCGAAGUUUGAGAAAAACUUAAUUUAGGGUUAACCCAAGUUUGAACUGUACUUGAAGUUUAACUAAACUUUAAAGAAUGACUUAGAGUUCGUUUAAAUAAAAAUCCGAAAUUUCUCUCUUAGGUUAAUUUUAAACUUUGUGUUACUCGUGGAAGAAUUUAAUAUGCUAUUCAUAUUGUAUAUAUUUUCAAGUGAAAAGUUUCUCUAGUCUGAGGCUGAAGUCUGUGAAGAUAUUUUUUGAAAUUAUUGUGAUUUUCGUUUUAAGCUGCGGUAACUUAAAAAUUAUCAACUAUUCAUGUUUACCCUACACUGCUGAUUCAACAACAGUUCUUGAUAGAGGAUACAGGGACACUGAAAGAAACUACUAUCCAUUUCUGAGGCUCUAGAGGAAAGAAGACAUGCUCGUGAGUUUGAAGCUUAAUGCUGAAAAAAAAAAACUGUUUAGAGAAUAUGAAACUACAGCCCAUCAAGUUGCUGGAAGACAUACCAGAAAUCUGUGGAACUAAUAAAACAGUGAAUUACUCACCACUUGAAAUUAUGAAGAUGACUGUUGUCUUCACUUGAAGAUAACUGAAGUGAGUACAGCUGAAAAUGAAAGUUUUGAAGACUGUUGCUGAACCAAAUGUGUCAGUAGAUGGAGCCACAACUCAAGAAUAAAUAUGCUCAAGUAAAUUUUAAUACCUUAUGAGUAUUAAAGAUUUACAACAUUGGCUUCCAUAAUUUGCUUAAUGCAAUAAUAUCUGCAUAUUUAUAUCUCAAUCAGUUAUAAUAAAGGUACCUAAUGUUGCAAUGUUUUUUAAAUAUACAGUGCAAAAUAAUAUAUGGUAAUAACUAUAUUCAUGAUAUUAGAAAAACACGUAGGUUCAAGAAGUCUUGAUAGAAAUCAAUAAAAACCCUAUAACCCUAGCACUUUCGAAAGGUCCACCUUUCGAAAGUGUUCAGGUUAUAAGGUUUUUGUUCAUUUCUGGUAAUAACUAUACAUAUUUAAUUUUUAAGUUAGGAAUGUUUAUACUAUGAUGCAUUUGUGUGUGUGUGUGUGUGUUUAGUAGGUUCAUAAAUUUUAUUUGUUUUUAAACAGUAACUGAAUAUUUAUUGAAUGUAUGUUUUAAGUUUUAUUACAAAUUAUGAAAAUAAUCAUGGCUUCAGCAAAGUUUGGAAAAGAUAAGAUUUUACUGUUGAAACUUGUGAAGAGCCAAAUGUAGCUUGUUGUUUGGCUAGUAAACAAUCUUGUGAUUAAAUUAGAUACUUGUCAUUGCCACAAGGUUAUAUAAAGAUAAUCUGUUUGAUUAUUAGAUGGUAAUUAAGUUAUUUUGUUCACAUUAUUCCAACUUUGUGUGACAUGGAGUCGGCUUAAGUGACGUAGGCCUAAUGUACUAUUACUUUCCCCUGUGCAUUUUAUCAUACUUUGAAGUAUAAUAUCUCUAAAUGAAUGUAUGUUCAUUGUAUUUUAUGGCAACUCUUACUGACAAGCUUCACCACAGCUGCUGCCUUCUCCUCUGCAAAGCUAUACGCAGCAUGAACUUGACUGUGUUAUCUCAUGUUCGAAACUGCUAGCUCUGGCAAACCAAGUUCUGUUUGGUAGCACAUCAGGACAGUCCACGAGGUUUAUCUGAGCAAGAAACCAUGAAAAAUAUACGGUUAUUUUGACCAUGUUUCUUCUGCCUCAGAUACAGAAAUGUUUCCAGAUUUUGGAAUGCUGAGCCAUCCUAUUGGACCGUUUGUAAACCCUAAUGUGACUUCUAUGUUCACGUGUGAGAUACAAAGAUUUUUUCGAAGGAUAUUUCUUGUGAAUUGUUUGAAACUUGUGGAUAUGGAACUGCUAGGUUCACGUGUGACAUAUGUAACAAAAGUGUUAGUAGAAGACGUGACCUUAAACGUCACAAGAAGAUACACUCGGAUGUCAGAUCGUGUUUCUCCUGUCUCCUCUGUUCAAAAGUUUUCACCUGGAAGCAUGGCUUACAGCAACAUAUGAAGUCUUUUCAUCAGAACUGUUGAUAUUCUCCUUUAACUGAUUAAACACAUACGGGAAAAACUAUUUGGUUAAAUAUACUAAGAACAUUUUGGCAUGAUAACUAUUUUUUUCUGUAUUAAAUUUUGAUUUCUUAUUCUUCAGAAUGUGUAGUGCAUAAUGGAGGUAUUCAGACAUUUUGGCAAUAAAGUUAGAAAAAAUGCAAUCUUUACUCUACAGAUAAUGAAUUAAUUAUUAUCUAAAAGGUGUUUCUUGUUCUAAUUUUAUUGCUAAAACCUGUUAAAUUUAGUUACCAGGUUAAUGAGUAACAUAGAUUUGACUAGAACUGUAGUUUUAACCUUUUCAGUGAUAUCACUAUAUAAGAUAAGGUAGUCGGUGGGAAUGCUAUCGCCAUAUGAGAUAUGGUAGUUGGGUAAACAUUAAUUUUUCCCGCCACUCUUUUAAUUCAUAUUGAUGCUCUGGCACACUAACUAGUCAGAGUACCAAUACAAGUUUAAAGAGUCGUGGGAAAAAUAAACCCAUAUGUUACACGAUGAUAGCAUUCUCACCGACUGCUGUAUCUCAUGGUGAUAGUACUGAAAGAGAUAGUUACUAAUAAGAAAUGUUUUUGCUUGAAUAUUUGUGAGUAACUGAAGGGAUGUUACAUAUCUGAAAUACUGAAAAAAAUGAAACUCUUGAAUGUUUUAUUUUUUUUCUUUAUUUUACAUUUCUUGAGAAAUAUUGAGAUAAAAAAAAAACUGUGGUCACCAUAUACAGUUAGAAUAUGUUCCAAAAAAUUAUAAGUGUGAUUCUUUAUGAACUGUACAUUUUUCAUUUUCCUAUUUCUCCUUUAAUUAUCACGAAGCAUGUGGAUCAGCUGUUCCAAAAAAAUAAAUUUCUGUAACAUUACUACAUUGUUUAUAAUGCAUCUUAUUAUCUGUUGUUAAUGGUAUAAAAUCUUAAGGGACUUGCCAAAGUAAAGGAAUCGUACAUAAGAAAUAUCAUUGCUAUUUAAAUGUGAAUUAUUCUUAAAGUUAAAUAUGUAUUUUACAGAAAAUAGGUAGCAAACAUCUCAUUUUUUUAGUUGAUAUUGUAUGACUAUUGUAUACAGGUCUUGAAAUUAGAAGUGGGUUAUUUGGCAAAAUGCCAGUGUUUCCCAAGUGACUAUCAGUGAUAGUGUUAUUUUUUUACCAGUUUAAUUAUUCAAUCAUGAUUGAGUAUUCUCACCAGAUGAUAACAGCAGUUGGUUUUCAAAAAUACAAAAUGGCUGCAAGCACAUAAGAAAAUCACACUACGAUAAUUGACUGUUAACCUUUCUGGUAGCUUAUUGCACAUUAUACUCAUGCAUCUUUCAAGGAAUUACUCAAGUUUAAAAUAUGAUUUAAAAACAGGACACUCGUGUGGUUUUUAUAUAUAUAUUUUUUUUUUCAUUAUAUAUUAUGAAAUUAAUUAUUAUUGAAAAUGUGGAUAUGAAAUACGAUAGUGUAUUAAAAAAUAUUAAAUGAAAAAUGUAACACUUGUUUGAAAUUGAUAACAACUGACUAGUUAUAUCCUGUAGGAGAAAUCCCAAAUGAAAAUGAAGUGUUGUUGACUUGCAGUAAAAGUUAUUUGUUUCUAAUGGGUUGAGAUGCAAGGAUUUGAUUCUGUUUUCUUUGGGGAUGGAGAAGGCUAGUAUUUUAUGUUCAAUCUGUUGUAUGUGAUAACUGUUCUGUGAAUGGUUACUAUGUACCUGUGUUUGUUUUUAAGAAUAAAUUGCACAAUACUGUAAUAUGUAGUGUUCUGCAUGUUUAAGGCUUUUAAAAAAUGCCAAAUUCCAAUAAAUGCUUAAACACACAGUUAUUUCAAUACUGUAAUAUGUAGUUGUUCUGUAUGUUUAAGAAUUUUAAAAAAAGGCCAAAUUUCAAUAAAUGUUUAAACACACAGUUAAUUCAUAAAACGUAUUCGAGCAAAAAUGUUUUUCAUUUGCUUCCCAUUGAAACAUUUAUGGUAGUGUUGUUAUUGUUUUUUUUAAAUGAAAGCUCGAAAAUUAAAAGAAAUUUCAAGGAUAGUUUAUUUUUUCCUGCAGAUAUGAAUUCUUUCCAACAACACUACUGCAUUGUGUGCAAGAAGUUUUACCCUAGUCAGAAACUUUUUGAUUUACACCAUUGUGAUUGUUCUUCUACUCAUUACCCCUUUUCAUGUGAUUUUUGUCCAAAAAAUUUUUUAUGGGAAGCCAGCCUGCUCCGACACCAGUAUGUGCAUCACAGCCAGCAGGUGGAACCAACACUUUCUCCAUGGUACCAAAUGAAUCGUCUUGGCCCCAAGGUUUGCUCAAAUGUAAAACUUUUCACACAUUUCCUUGUGGAACCUGGGUAUCUCACAAAAACUUUUAUAAGGAUUCCCCAAAAGUGGACCUCAAAUUUGACAUUCAUUUACAUUAGAGAAAUAUGGGAUAUUCUUUGACUUAUACUGCAUUCCCAAGGAAAAUUGCAGAUGUAAAACGAGACAAAAAGAAAAAACCAAAAUGUCCCUUGUGUCAGCGUGAGUUUUUCAACAACCAGUCAUUAAGAAGACACAUGGAACUACACAGUGGAAAGACCUAUGAAUGUGACAUCUGCCAUGCUGUGUUCACACACAUUACAGUGUUAUACAAUCACCGAAGAACAAACCAUGACACUAGCUUCCGUUGUCAAGUUUGUAAUAAAGCUUUCAUGCGAGAGAGAGCGUGGAGAAAACACAUGAUAACUCACCAUUCAUAUAAGAUUUGAAAUGUACUUUGUUUUCUUCUACAAUUUUAUAUCAUAUACAGUUACAGCUAAAUAUUCUUAAAUGUUUUUUAUUAAUCGACUCUAAUAUUUAGUCAUUUUCAAGCAAUUACGUUUGUAUACAUAAUUAUAUGAAAUAAAUGUUGUAUUCUAUAGUUUAUAAUAUUA